UACGUAGGGUGCGAGCGUUGUCCGGAAUUAUUGGGCGUAAAGGGCUCGUAGGCGGUUUGUCGCGUUGUUCGUGAAAACUCACAACUCAAUUGUGGGCGUGCGGGCGAUACGGGCAGACUAGAGGUAUGCAGGGGAGAACGGAAUUCCUGGUGUAGCGGUGAAAUGCGCAGAUAUCAGGAGGAACACCGGUGGCGAAGGCGGUUCUCUGGGCAUUACCUGACGCUGAGGAGCGAAAGUGUGGGGAGCGAACAGG
rnacentral:rRNA from 1 species